UGGGGAAUUUUGGACAAUGGGCGCAAGCCUGAUCCAGCCAUGCCGCGUGAGUGAAGAAGGCCUUCGGGUUGUAAAGCUCUUUCGGCGGGGACGAAACGGUUCGUGACAACACCACGGACUAAUGACGGUACCCGCAUAAGAAGCACCGGCUAACUACGUGCCAGCAGCCGCGGUAAUACGUAGGGUGCAGGCGUUAAUCGGAAUUACUGGGCGUAAAGCGUGCGCAGGCGGUUUGUUAAGACAGGUGUGAAAUCCCCGGGCUUAACCUGGGAAUUGCGCUUGUAACUGGCAGGCUAGAGUGUGGCAGAGGGGGGUGGAAUUCCACGUGUAGCAGUGAAAUGCGUAGAUAUGUGGAGGAACACCUGUGGCGAAGGCGGCCACCUGGUUGGAUACUGACGCUGAGACGCGAAAGCGUGGGGAGCAAACAGGAUUAGAUACCCCAGUAGUCCCUGAGCGGGCUGGCAAGGCGCAU
rnacentral:rRNA from 1 species